GCGUGAGCGAUGAAGGCCUUAGGGUUGUAAAGCUCUUUCACCGGUGAAGAUAAUGACGGUAGCCGGAGAAGAAGCCCCGGCUAACUCCGUGCCAGCAGCCGCGGUAAUACGGAGGGGGCUAGCGUUGUUCGGAAUUACUGGGCGUAAAGCGGGUGUAGGCGGACUUCUAAGUCGGGGGUGAAAUCCCAGGGCUCAACCCUGGAACUGCCCUCGAAACUGGUUGUCUCGAGUCCGGGAGAGGUGUGUGGAAUUCCGAGUGUAGAGGUGAAAUUCGU
rnacentral:rRNA from 1 species